rnacentral:tRNA from 1 species
GGAUGUAACUCAGUUGGUAGAGUGCCUGCCUCGAAUGCACAAGGCCUGGGUUCAAUCCUCAGCACCA